AUAAAUAGGUAAUCGCUGCGCCUCAAGUGGGCGUAGAGGAAAGUCCAUGCUCGCAUCAUCUGUGAUGAUGAUAGUGAUUAAGCUAAACGAAAUCAUAAGUUUGGGCAUUUCAUAGAAAUGACGGCGCAGAUAACACCUAAGGAGCUUGCUCUAAGGUCAAGUCGCAUAAAGUGCCACAGUGACGAAGUCAUAUUUGAAAGAGUAUGAGUGGAACGAGGUAAACCCCUUAAGCGAGAAACCCAAAUUUGGUAGGGGAACUCUUCAAAAAACUAAUCAGAAGUUAAAGAAGAGACUCAAGUAAUUGAGUAGAUAAAUGAUUACCACCCGUUAGGGUACAGAACAUGGCUUAUUUUU
rnacentral:RNase_P_RNA from 1 species